GACGAACGCUGGCGGCGUGCCUAAUACAUGCAAGUAGAACGCUGAAGAGAGGAGCUUGCUCUUCUUGGAUGAGUUGCGAACGGGUGAGUAACGCGUAGGUAACCUGCCUGGUAGCGGGGGAUAACUAUUGGAAACGAUAGCUAAUACCGCAUGAUAUUAAUUGUCGCAUGAUAAUUAAUUGAAAGAUGCAAUUGCAUCACUACCAGAUGGACCUGCGUUGUAUUAGCUAGUUGGUGAGGUAACGGCUCACCAAGGCGACGAUACAUAGCCGACCUGAGAGGGUGAUCGGCCACACUGGGACUGAGACACGGCCCAGACUCCUACGGGAGGCAGCAGUAGGGAAUCUUCGGCAAUGGGGGGAACCCUGACCGAGCAACGCCGCGUGAGUGAAGAAGGUUUUCGGAUCGUAAAGCUCUGUUGUAAGAGAAGAACGGGUGUGAGAGUGGAAAGUUCACACUGUGACGGUAUCUUACCAGAAAGGGACGGCUA
rnacentral:rRNA from 1 species